GAUGAACGUUGGCGGCGUGCCUAAUACAUGCAAGUCGAACGAAGACUGUAGUAAUACUGUCUUAGUGGCGAACGGGUGAGUAACGCGUGGGUGACCUGCCCCGAAGUGUGGGAUAACAGUCCGAAAGGAUUGCUAAUACUGCAUAAUAUCCAAGAGAUUAGACGCUUUUGGAUUAAAGGAGUAAUUCGCUUCGGGAGGGGCCCGCGUCCCAUCAGCUAGUUGGUAAGGUAAUGGCUUACCAAGGCGAUGACGGGUAGGGGACCUGAGAGGGUGGCCCCCACAAUGGAACUGAAACACGGUCCAUACACCUACGGGUGGCAGCAGUAGGGAAUAUUGGUUAAUGUGCGAAAGCGCGAACCAGCAACGCCGCGUGCACGAUGAAGGCCUUCGGGUUGUAAAGUGCUUUUGUAGGGGAUGAGGAAGGACAGUACCCUCAGAAUAAGUCUCGGCCAACUACGUG
rnacentral:rRNA from 1 species